GGCCCAGUGGCGCAAUGGCUGCGCGUUGCUUUCCGGUGGCAAAGGUUGCAGGUUCGAGUCCUGCCUGGGUCG